rnacentral:lncRNA from 1 species
AAACAAGAUUUUGACGAAAAUAGGUUUUAACUUGACUCAAAACACUUAAAAACACAAACUAACACACUUUCUAACUAAUUUGACACUUGAAAACAAAGGGGGAUUUGGUUUUUACGAAAUUGAAAACAAAAUAUAAACUUGUAAAAUCAAAACAGAUUUUAAAACGAAUUUGGUUUAAAUGAAUGGAUGGUAAGCUAGCUAAGGGGUUCAUCUCCACACAUGUUAUACUUGCAUUCAAAACGAUUUCCAAUUGCUUUUCAAUAACCCAUGAAUUCUCAACGCCCCAAGUUAAUUAGGUCCGCUUAAAUUAACCUUCAGAUUUUCCUAACGUUAUUGAAUUUGAUGAUUGCAUACGACAACCCA